UACGUAGGUGGCAAGCGUUAUCCGGAAUUAUUGGGCGUAAAGAGCGCGCAGGUGGUUAAUUAAGUCUGAUGUGAAAGCCCACGGCUUAACCGUGGAGGGUCAUUGGAAACUGGUUGACUUGAGUGUAGAAGAGGGAAGUGGAAUUCCAUGUGUAGCGGUGAAAUGCGUAGAGAUAUGGAGGAACACCAGUGGCGAGGGCGGCUUCCUGGUCUGCAACUGACACUGAGGCGCGAAAGCGUGGGGAGCAAACAGG
rnacentral:rRNA from 1 species